rnacentral:lncRNA from 1 species
AGGAGGCGAGGGAGGAGGGGGGGACGGCGGCACGGGGCUCGGCGGAGGCGCGUCGGGUGGAGGUGGAGGAGGAGGCGACGGCGGCACAGGGCUCGGCGGAGGCGCGUCCGGAGGAGGCGGAGGAGGAGGCGAUGGCGGCACAGGGCUCGGCGGAAGCGCGUCCGGUGGAGGCGGAGGAGGAGGCGACGGCGGCUCAGGGCUCGGCGGAGGCGCGUCGGGUGGAGGUGGAGGAGGCGGCGACGGCGGCACAGGGCUCGGCGGAGGCGCGUCGGGUGGAGGUGGAGGAGGAGGCGACGGCGGCACAGGGCUCGGCGGAGGCGCGUCCGGAGGAGGUGGAGGAGGAGGCGACGGCGGCUCAGGGCUCGGCGGAGGCGCGUCCGGCGGAGGCGGAGGAGGAGGCGACGGCGGCACAGGGCUCGGCGGAGGCGCGUCCGGAGGAGGCGGAGGAGGAGGCGAUGGCGGCACAGGGCUCGGCGGAAGCGCGUCCGGUGGAGGCGGAGGAGGAGGCGACGGCGGCUCAGGGCUCGGCGGAGGCGCGUCGGGUGGAGGUGGAGGAGGCGGCGACGGCGGCACAGGGCUCGGCGGAGGCGCGUCGGGUGGAGGUGGAGGAGGAGGCGACGGCGGCACAGGGCUCGGCGGAAGCGCGUCCGGUGGAGGCGGAGGAGGAGGCGACGGCGGCUCAGGGCUCGGCGGAGGCGCGUCGGGUGGAGGUGGAGGAGGCGGCGACGGCGGCACAGGGCUCGGCGGAGGCGCGUCGGGUGGAGGUGGAGGAGGAGGCGACGGCGGCACAGGGCUCGGCGGAGGCGCGUCCGGCGGAGGCGGAGGAGGCGGUGAAGGCGGCAUAGGGCUCGGUGGAGGCGCGCCGGGUGGAGGUGGAGGAGGAGGCGACGGCGGCUCGGGGCUUGGCGGAGGCGCGUCGGGUGGAGGUGGAGGAGGAGGCGAAGGCGGCACGGGGCUCGGCGGAGGCGCGUCGGGUGGAGGCGGAGGAGGAGGCGACGGCGGCACGGGGCUCGGCGGAGACGCGUCUGGUGGAGGCGGAGGAGGCGAUGGCGGCUCGGGGCUUGGCGGAGGUGCGUCCGGCGGAGGCGGAGGAGGAGGCGACGGCGGCUCGGGGCUUGGUGGAGGCGCGUCGGGCGGAGGCGGAGGAGGAGGCGACGGCGGCACAGGGCUCGGCGGAGGCGCGUCCGGAGGAGGCGGAGGAGGAGGCGACGGCGGCAUAGGGCUCGGUGGAGGCGCGUCGGGUGGAGGUGGAGGAGGAGGCGACGGCGGCUCGGGGCUCGGCGGAGGCGCGUCGGGCGGAGGCGGGGGAGGAGGCGAAGGCGGCUCAGGGCUUGGCGGAGGUGCGUCGGGCGGAGGCGGAGGAGGAGGCGAUGGCGGCUCAGGGCUCGGCGGAGGUGCGUCCGGAGGAGGCGGAGGAGGAGGCGACGGCGGCACAGGGCUCGGCGGAGGCGCGUCGGGUGGAGGUGGAGGAGGAGGCGAAGGCGGCUCGGGGCUCGGCGGAGGCGCGUCGGGUGGAGGCGGGGGAGGAGGCGAAGGCGGCUCGGGGCUUGGCGGAGGUGCGUCGGGCGGAGGCGGAGGAGGAGGUGAAGGCGGCUCGGGGCUCGGCGGAGGCGCGUCCGGCGGAGGUGGAGGAGGAGGCGAAGGCGGCUCGGGGCUUGGCGGAGGUGCGUCCGGCGGAGGCGGAGGAGGAGGCGAUGGCGGCUCGGGGCUCGGCGGAGGCGCGUCGGGUGGAGGUGGAGGAGGAGGCGACGGCGGCACAGGGCUUGGCGGAGGCGCGUCCGGCGGAGGUGGAGGGGGAGGCGAAGGCGGCUCGGGGCUUGGCGGAGGUGCGUCCGGCGGAGGCGGAGGAGGAGGCGAUGGCGGCACAGGGCUCGGCGGAGGCGCGUCAGGUGGAGGCGGAGGAGGAGGCGACGGCGGCUCGGGGCUUGGCGGAGGCGCGUCGGGUGGAGGCGGAGGGGGCGAUGGCGGCUCGGGGCUUGGAGGUUCAGGUGAUGGAGGGUCAGAGAUAGCACAUGACUUCUGUGCCUGCCCAGACAGGCACGAUAAACGGUCUGACGUUGCAAGUGUGUCUGUGCUUCCCUGAACACU